UACAGAGGUCUCAAGCGUUGUUCGGAUUCAUUGGGCGUAAAGGGCGCGUAGGCGACGGGGUAAGACGGGUGUGAAAUCUCAGAGCUCAACUCUGAAACUGCACUCGAUACUGCUCUGCUUGAGGACUGGAGAGGAGACUGGAAUUCACGGUGUAGCAGUGAAAUGCGUAGAUAUCGUGAGGAAGACCAGUGGCGAAGGCGGGUCUCUGGACAGUUCCUGACGCUGAGGCGCGAAGGCCGGGGGAGCAAACGGG
rnacentral:rRNA from 1 species